CGGCGAGUGAAGCGGCAACAGCUCAAAUUUGAAAGCUAGCCUUCGGGUUCGCAUUGUAAUUUGUAGAGGAUGAUUUGGGGAAGCCGCCUGUCUAAGUUCCUUGGAACAGGACGUCAUAGAGGGUGAGAAUCCCGUAUGUGACAGGAAAUGGCACCCUAUGUAAAUCUCCUUCGACGAGUCGAGUUGUUUGGGAAUGCAGCUCUAAAUGGGAGGUAAAUUUCUUCUAAAGCUAAAUAUUGGCGAGAGACCGAUAGCGCACAAGUAGAGUGAUCGAAAGAUGAAAAGCACUUUGGAAAGAGAGUUAAAAAGCACGUGAAAUUGUUGAAAGGGAAGCGCUUGCAAUCAGACUUGUUUAAACUGUUCGGCCGGUCUUCUGACCGGUUUACUCAGUUUGGACAGGCCAGCAUCAGUUUCGGCGGCCGGAUAAAGGCUCUGGGAAUGUGGCCUCCACUUCGGUGGAGGUGUUAUAGCCCAGGGUGUAAUACGGCCAGCCGGGACUGAGGUCCGCGCUUCGGCUAGGAUGCUGGCGUAAUGGUUGUAAGCGACCCGUCUU
rnacentral:rRNA from 1 species